rnacentral:rRNA from 1 species
CAGCAGUGAGGAAUAUUGGUCAAUGGGCGCGAGCCUGAACCAGCCAAGUCGCGUGAGGGAUGAAGGUUCUAUGGAUCGUAAACCUCUUUUUAUAAGGGAAUAAAGUGUGGGACGUGUCCUAUUUUGUAUGUACCUUAUGAAUAAGGAUCGGCUAACUCCGUGCCAGCAGCCGCGGUAAUACGGAGGAUCCGAGCGUUAUCCGGAUUUAUUGGGUUUAAAGGGUGCGUAGGCGGCCUUUUAAGUCAGCGGUGAAAGUCUGUGGCUCAACCAUAGAAUUGCCGUUGAAACUGGGAGGCUUGAGUAUGUUUGAGGCAGGCGGAAUGCGUGGUGUAGCGGUGAAAUGCUUAGAUAUCACGCAGAACCCCGAUUGCGAAGGCAGCCUGCCAAGCCAUGACUGACGCUGAUGCACGAAAGCGUGGGGAUCAAACAGGAUUAGAUACCCUGGUAGUCCACGCAGUAAACGAUGAUCACUAGCUGUUUGCGAUACAUUGUAAGCGGCACAGCGAAAGCGUUAAGUGAUCCACCUGGGGAGUACGCCGGCAACGGUGAAACUCAAAGGAAUUGACGGGGGCCCGCACAAGCGGAGGAACAUGUGGUUUAAUUCGAUGAUACGCGAGGAACCUUACCCGGGUUUGAACGCAUUCGGACCGAGGUGGAAACACCUUUUCUAGCAAUAGCCGUUUGCGAGGUGCUGCAUGGUUGUCGUCAGCUCGUGCCGUGAGGUGUCGGCUUAAGUGCCAUAACGAGCGCAACCCUUGCCACUAGUUACUAACAGGUUAGGCUGAGGACUCUGGUGGGACUGCCAGCGUAAGCUGCGAGGAAGGCGGGGAUGACGUCAAAUCAGCACGGCCCUUACAUCCGGGGCGACACACGUGUUACAAUGGCGUGGACAAAGGGAAGCCACCUGGCGACAGGGAGCGAAUCCCCAAACCACGUCUCAGUUCGGAUCGGAGUCUGCAACCCGACUCCGUGAAGCUGGAUUCGCUAGUAAUCGCGCAUCAGCCAUGGCGCGGUGAAUACGUUCCCGGGCCUUGUACACACCGAAGGGCGAAUUCCAGCACACUGGCGGCCGUUACUAG